GUCUUUUUGAUAAUAAUUUAAAGUCUGGCCUGCCCAAUGAUAAUUUAAAUGGCCGCGGUAUUUUGACCGUGCAAAGGUAGCAUAAUCAUUAGUUUUUUAAUUGAAAGCUUGUAUGAAAGGUUGAACGAAAAAAUUACUGUCUCAAUUUUAUUUAUUAAGAAUUUUAUAUUUAAGUUAAAAAGCUUAAAUAUUUUUAAAAGACGAGAAGACCCUAUAGAGUUUUAUAUAAUUAAAAAUUUAAUUUUAAAUAAUUAUUAUUUAAUUUUUAAUUAUAUUUUAUUGGGGUGAUAAAUAAAUUUAUAAAACUUUAUUUUUUUUUUACAUUAAUUUAUGAUAAUUUUGAUCCAAUUUUUUUUUAUUAUAAGAUAAAAUUACCUUAGGGAUAACAGCGUAAUUUUUUUUGAGAGUUCAUAUCGAAAAAAAAGAUUGCGACCUCGAUGUUGGAUUAAAAUUUAUUUUUGGUGUAGAAGCUAAACAAAUUAAGUCUGUUCGACUUUUAAAAUUUUACAUGAUCUGAGUUUAAACCGGUGUGAGCCAGGUUGGUUUCUAUCUUUAAAAAUUAUAAAUAUUUUAGUACGAAAGGACCAAAUAUUUAUAAUAUUUAUUAAUUUAUUGAACAUUAUUGUUAUUUUGGCAGAUUAGUGCAUUAAAUUUAGAAUUUAAUAAUGUAAUUUAUUACAAAUAAUACUUGUUUUAUAAAGAUUUAAUUUUAAUGUUAAUUAGAAGUUUAUUAUUAGUUAUUUGUGUUUUAAUU
rnacentral:rRNA from 1 species